GACGAACCGAGCGAACGUUGUUCGGAAUCACUGGGCUUAAAGGGCGCGUAGGCGGGCCUGAAAGUCAAGGGUGAAAGCCCCCGGCUCAACCGGGGAAGUGCCCCUGAUACUUCAGGCCUCGAGGGAGGUAGGGGCGUGCGGAACUUCCGGUGGAGCGGUGAAAUGCGUAGAUAUACUACAGGAACUCCGGUGGCGAAAGCGGCGUGCGUGGACCUUUUCUGACGCUGAGGCGCGAAAGCUAGGGGAGCAA
rnacentral:rRNA from 1 species